rnacentral:rRNA from 1 species
CAGGCCGCGGUAAUACGUAGGGUGCAAGCGUUAAUCGGAAUUACUGGGCGUACAGCGUGCGCAGGCGGUUAUAUAAGACAGAUGUGAAAUCCCCGGGCUCAACCUGGGAACUGCAUUUGUGACUGUAUAGCUAGAGUACGGCAGAGGGGGAUGGAAUUCCGCGUGUAGCAGUGAAAUGCGUAGAUAUGCGGAGGAACACCGAUGGCGAAGGCAAUCCCCUGGGCCUGUACUGACGCUCAUGCACGAAAGCGUGGGGAGCAAACAGGAUUAGAUACCCCAGUAGUCCCUGUCUCUUAUACAC